rnacentral:rRNA from 1 species
GACGAACGCUGGCGGCGUGCUUAACACAUGCAAGUCGAACGCGCCUGUCCUCUGGGUUUCUGGGGGGUGGGUGAGUGGCGAACGGGUGAGUAACACGUGAGUAACCUGCCCCCUUCUUCGGGAUAACGGUCUGAAAGGGCUGCUAAUACCGGGUAUUCACUGGUCUCCGCAUGGGGUCUGGUGGAAAGGUUUUUUUCUGGUGGGGGAUGGGCUCGCGGCCUAUCAGCUUGUUGGUGGGGUGAUGGCCCACCAAGGCUUUGACGGGUAGCCGGCCUGAGAGGGUGACCGGUCACAUUGGGACUGAGAUACGGCCCAGACUCCUACGGGAGGCAGCAGUGGGGAAGAUUGCACAAUGGGCGCAAGCCUGAUGCAGCGACGCCGCGUGAGGGAUGGAGGCCUUCGGGUUGUGAACCUCUUUCGCCCGUGGUCAAGCCGCGACGUGGGUCGUGGUGAGGGUAGUGGGUAAAGAAGCGCCGGCUAACUACGUG